UACAGAGGUCCCAAGCGUUGUUCGGAUUCACUGGGCGUAAAGGGUGCGUAGGCGGUCGGGUAAGUCUGACGUGAAAUCUCCAAGCUCAACUUGGAAAUGGCGUCGGAUACUAUUCGGCUCGAGGAAUGGAGGGGAGACUGGAAUUCUCGGUGUAGCAGUGAAAUGCGUAGAUAUCGAGAGGAACACCAGUGGCGAAGGCGAGUCGCUGGACAUUUCCUGACGCUGAGGCACGAAAGCCAGGGGAGCAAACGGG
rnacentral:rRNA from 1 species